rnacentral:lncRNA from 1 species
UUGAUUAUUGGGCUUUGACCCUUCUUGAUAUAGGGCGUCGGCCCUUUUUGAUACCUGCUUGUGCUUGGUGUGACGACAUGAUGUAUAUAUUGGGCGAGCCUUGUUAUUGAAUCUCUUGGAAAUUGGUGCUAUGAGCGUUUUUGACAUUUGGAUCUUUAAAUUUCGAACUUGAUACUCUUAUUAUAUUGUUUACUUGAUUUAAUUAUUAUGUUUCAAUGGUGCUGCCCAUGACUUGAGAAAGUUAACUUGGUGAAUCUGAUGACUCCGAACCUAUAGUUUUUACACCACUACACUGUAUGCUUAGCGAUAGUUGUUUCUAUCGUAUGGAAUGAUCGAGUGGAUGCAUGAAGCUGGCCAUUGGUGAUGGAAAUUUUGAGAGCCUUAAGGACAAUCACAUUUGCAUAUAGGCAUCUAUAUUUUAUAUAAACCUUGGGACUUGUACAUGAUCUAUGUGUUGUAUGUUUACAUGAAAUUUUGAGGACUAUUUUGAUCAUGUCACCAUGGGUUGUAAUAUAAGUAUGUCUACAUGUUUUGUUCUUUCGGGGUGCGUAAACCUAGGUCUUGUAAUAUACGAAAUUUACUACUAAUUUUGAAUGAAUGUGUGAAGCAUGAACCACCUAGUUUGGGUACUCGGAGGUUAGUAAUAUUCUUUUUAUAUCAUUUUUACUAGUGUGAGGAUAAUAUAUGCAUAAGAAUCUCGUGAGUCAUUGGCUUAUAUUAUUUCGAAAGGGUCGCUACAAGUGUUGGUAUCAGAGCCUAGGUUUGUGGUUCUAGGACUUUUGCUGUGAAUUACUUGUAUACUUGUUCGUUUUCGAAAAAGGUUCUCUUUGGAUUAUUUGUUCACUAACAUAGUUUAUAAUAUUUUAUCGCAUGUAGAGUGCACAAGUAUCAUGUACAUGUCCCUAAUGCAAUGUGAUCUUCCCUUUUGAAGGAAUUAAGUUAUGGUCUCUUCUUUUGACCGACCUAUGGAAGCUGCUCGUGAAGGUUCGGGUACCUCUGUGCCCCAACCUUAUGCACUAGAAGAGGUUAGAGAACAUUUCUCGAAUCAAUAUGUUCCCCACACUAGUGGGUUUGAAGUGGGAAAUCAUCAGGGUGUAAGAGCUGGUUCAUAUCCUCAGAUGAGUCGUGGUACUCAAGCCAUGAAUCCUCCUUUCCAACAAAUGGCCAAAUUCUUCCACCACAUGGCUGAAGCGAUGCAUGAUCCCAACGUGAUUAACUUUGAGAAAAUGAGGAAAAUGGGUGGAGUGGAGUUUGAAGGCACUAUUGAUCCCACAGAUGUUGAACAAGGGUUGGAGCGCAUGGAGAGGGUAUUUGAGCAGGUAGAGUGUUCAGAGGUUGCCAAAUUUAAGUAUGCUAUUUCACUAUUACAAAAGGAUGCCUACGAUUGGUGGGUAAGGGUUCCAAAUGCCAAGGUAAAACCUCCUGUUCUUACUUGGGAUGAUUUUCUUAGGGAAUUUCGUAUGAAGUAUGUCCCACCUUCUUAUUGUGAUGCAAAGAGAAAUGAGUUUUUGAAUGUAAGGCAACGAUGCAUGUCUACUGCUGAGUACCAACAUGAGUUUCUAAGGCUUUCUCGUUACGCUAUAGGUAUUAUUAAAGAGGAAAAAGACAAGUAAAGGAAAUUUGAAGAUGGUUUAAAUGAUUCCAUUAGAAAGAAUGUGGCGAUCCAGCAACAUGAGAACUUUUGUAAGUUAGUGUCUGCUACUUUUACUUGGGAACGACUUGAUAAAGAAGAAGCUAGUACAAAUGAAAACAAAUUUCGAAAGCCUAGACCAGAUUUGGGGGUCCAUCAAAAAGGGAAGGUUUGAUAAUUCUAAGGCUGGUAGUGAUAACAGGCCAUCGCAAUAUGAAGUAUGUCCCACCUUCUUAUUGUGAUGCAAAGAGAAAUGAGUUUUUGAAUGUAAGGCAACGAUGCAUGUCUACUGCUGAGUACCAACAUGAGUUUCUAAGGCUUUCUCGUUACGCUAUAGGUAUUAUUAAAGAGGAAAAAGACAAGUAAAGGAAAUUUGAAGAUGGUUUAAAUGAUUCCAUUAGAAAGAAUGUGGCGAUCCAGCAACAUGAGAACUUUUGUAAGUUAGUGUCUGCUACUUUUACUUGGGAACGACUUGAUAAAGAAGAAGCUAGUACAAAUGAAAACAAAUUUCGAAAGCCUAGACCAGAUUUUGGGGGUCCAUCAAAAAAGGGAAGGUUUGAUAAUUCUAAGGCUGGUAGUGAUAACAGGCCAUCGCAACAAAAGCAAAACAUAUUAGAUUUUUCUACAGCUAGCACUCCAAAUUAUGGCCAAGGCAAGCCUCGUGUUCCCACUUGUCCGCAAUGUGGAAAGAAUCAUUAUGGUACUUGCAGGAGAGCUUCUGGUGCAUGUUUCAAUUGUGAGAUCUUUGAUCAUAAAGUGAAGGAUUGUCCUAAUCCUAAUAAUGCUCCUUCCUUGAGAACUGAAGUCUCAGUUCAUAAGUCUUCUAUUAAUCCUCCUCAAACUAAUAGAGGUGCAAGACCUAAAAGCACCCAAGUAGCAGGUACAAGUGGAGCUAAUCAAGCUAGUGGACAAAGGGCAACUGCACGUGCUUAUGCUAUGAGGCAGAGGGAUGAUCAAGAUUUACAAAAUGUGGUUGUCGGUAAAUUAUACUUAUUUGUCUUAUGUGUGUUUACACUGUUUGAUCCUGGUUCUACACAUUCCUAUAUUUGUUCAUCACUUGUUCUUCCUGUAAAUGUGAAAUCUGUGAGACUUAAUUAUGAUGUGCUGGUUGAAGUCCUUUGGGUUAUCAGGUUGUGUGUAAUCGAAUUUAUCAUGAUUGUUCCUUCGUGAUUCAAAACCUGGUCUUCCCUGCUGAUUUGAUUGAAAUGCCCUUCAAGGAAUUUGAUGUUAUUAUCGGGAUGGAUUGGCUUCAAAAAUAUCAUGCAGUGGUAGAUUGUAGGUCAAAGCAUGUGACCUUUAAAGAUCCUACAUUUUCACACAUCAUUGUACAAGGUGAAAUAUCAUUGAUAUCUUGUAUUGUUUCUCCGACCUUGGCAAGAAAGUUGAUGGGUCAAGGUUGUAGGGCAUAUCUCGCUCACAUUAUUGAUACACAAUUGAAGAGUCCUUGUAUCCAGGACAUACCUGCUGUAUGUGAUUUUCCAGAAGUCUUCCAAGAAAACCAUCCUGGAUUGCCCCCGGAAAGAGAGGUUGAAUUUCCAAUCGAGCUUAUUCCUGGAUCUACCCCUAUUUCUAUCACUCUAUAUAGAAUGGCUCUGGUAGAAUUAAGAGAAUUGAAAUCUCAAUUUCAAGAACUUCUUGAGAAAGGUUUUAUUCGACCUAGUGUUUCUCCUUGGGGAGUCCCUGUUUUGUUCGUAAAGAAGAAAGAUGGCACUCUUAGGCUUUGUAUUGACUAUAGACAAUUGAACAGAAUAACAAUCAAGAAUAGAUAUCCACUACCAAGGAUCGAUGACUUGUUUGACCAACUUAAGGGUGCUAAAAUGUUCUCAAAGAUUGAUUUAAGGUAUGGAUAUCACCAACUGCGUGUUAGAGAGAAAGAUAUUCCUAAAACUGCUUAUAGAACUCGGUAUGGUCAUUACGAAUUUUUGGUGAUGUCAUUCGGAUUGACAAAUGCUCAUGUGGUAUUAAUCGAUCUAAUGAAUCGAGUAUUCAAGCCUUAUCUUGAUCAGUUUGUGGUUGUUUUUAUUAGAUGAUAUUUUAAUAUUUUCUAGAAGUAGUGAAGACCAUGAUAAACACCUCUGGAUUAUUUUGAAAAUUUUGAAGGAGAAAGAACUUUAUGCUAAACUUUCGAAGUGUGAAUUUUGGCUUGAUGAAGUGACGUUUCUGGGACAUGUUUUAUCAGCCGAAGGUGUGAAGGUGGAUCCUAGUAAGAUACAAGCAGUUGUUGAAUGAUGACCUCCCAAAAGUCCAAACGAGGUAAGAAGUUCCUUAGGGUUAGCAUGAUAUUAUAGAAGAUUUGUGAAAGGCUUUUCCAUAAUCGCCUCUCCAUUGACUAAACUCUUGCAGACGUAAGUGAAGUUUAAUUAGAAUGACAAAUGCCAAGAGAGCUUAGAAACUCUCAAAUCCUUGUUGACUCAAGCGCCUAUACAGUGAUGCUUCUCACAAUGGACUCUGAUGCAUUUUGAUGCAAGAAGGGAAGGUUAUUUCUUAUGCCUCUCGAAAAUUAAAACCUCAUGAAUUGAAUUAUCCUACCCAUGAUCUUGAACUUGCUGUUGUAGUGUUUGCUUUAAAAAUAUGGCGGCAUUAUUUGUAUGGAGAGAAAUGUCAUAUAUUCAUUGAUCACAAGAGCUUAAAGUACUUGGGUACUCAGAAGGAGCUAAACCUUCGACAAUGUAGAUGGCUUGAACUCAUCAAGAAUUACGACUGCACGAUUGAUUAUCAUCCAGGUAAAGCCAAUGUGGUUGCAGAUGCCUUAAGUAAAAAAUCCUUCGCAAGCAUUUCCUUGAGUCCUUUACCCUUGCUUCUUGAGUUAAGAGUCAUGAAUGUUUGUUUUACACCUGAUGCAAAUGGUUCAGUUAUUUCUAAGUUGCAAGUAAAGCCAAUAUUAGUUGAACAGGUGAAGGAAGCACAAAAGAUAGAUGAGUAACUUGUAAAAUUGACCAGAGAAGUUCAAAAUGGGGGAAAACAUGAUUUUACAUUAACAAAGUAUGGUGUCUUAUUUUAUCAAAACAGGUUAUGCGUCCCUAAUGAUGACAAAUUGAGGGGAAAAAUACCGAAUGAAUCACAUACUUCACCAUAUUCAAUGCAUCUUGGAGGUAUAAAGAUAUACCAGACCAUCAAAGAACAUUAUUGGUGGAAUGGUAUGAAGAGAGACAUUGCGGAGUUGAUUUCUAAAUGUUUGGUUUGUCAACAAGUAAAGGCAGAACAUCAGGUCCCAAUUGGUUUACUACAACCCUUGUCGAUACCGGAAUGGAAAUGGGAGAGAAUAAUUAUGGACUUUGUUUCUGGAAAUCCUCGCACCCAAAGAAAUCAUGAUGCAAUAUGGGUGACUGUGGAUAGGCUAACCAAGAGUGCUCACUUCUUAGCAAUCAAGAUGGAUUACUCACUUGAGCAUUUAGCUGAAUUGUACGUUAAUGAGAUUGUAAGACUACAUGGGAUCCCUGUGUCUAUUGUGUCUGACCGAGACCCAAGGUUUACAUCUAGAUUUUGGGGUAGCUUGCAGCAAGACUUGGGUACUAAGUUGAAAUUUAGAACUUCGUUCCAUCCUCAAACAGAGGGCCAGUCAGAAAGAGUGAUACAAAUUUUGGAGGAUAUGCUUUGAGCUUGCAUUAUGGAGUUUGAGGGUAGUUGGGAAAAACACUUGGCUUUGAUAGAAUUUGCUUAUAAUAAUAGCUACCAAUCAAGUAUUGGAAUGCCUCCCUAUGAAGCCCUAUACGGAAGAAAAUGUCGGACCCCUCUUUGUUGGAGUGAAGUUGGUGAAAGAAAGCUUAUUGGUCCUGAAAUUACGCAACAAACAGAGGACAAGGUAAAAAUUAUCAAGGAUCAUCUAAAUAUUUCUUCGGAUAGACAAAAGUGGUACGCUGAUCUUAAAAGGCGGGACAUUGAAUAUCAAGUGGAAGAUAAAGUAUUCUUAAAGGGGUCUCCAUGGAAAAAGAUUAUGAGAUAUGGCCAAAAAGGAAAACUUAGUCCCCGAUUUAUUGGACCUUAUGAGAUACUUGAAAGGGUUGGACGAGUUGCAUAUAAAUUAGCUUUGCCACCAGAGUUGGAGAAGAUCCACAAUGUCUUUCAUGUUUCUAUGCUCAGAAGAUAUCGUUUUGAUCUAUCGCAUGUUCUUUCGGUUGAAUCUAUAGAGAUUAAUCCUGACUUGACUUAUAAUGAAGAACCUAUCCGAAUUGAAGCUCGAGAAGUAAAGCAACUUAGAAACAAGAGAAUCCCCUUAGUAAAGGUUCUUUGGAUGAACCAUUCUGCAAAAGAAGCUACCUGCGAAAGAGAAAAAGACAUGAGGACCCAGUAUCCGCACUUGUUCCGGAACUAGUGUAAGGUAAAUUUCGAGACGAAAUUUCUUUAAGGGGGAGAGAGUUGUAACACCCCUAAAUAUUAACCAAGAGUCGCAUGUCGAUUUACCGUUGGUUAAUUACUACAAUAUGUUUUACUCUCAUUUUGGGAACUUGAAAUGUUGUGAUAAUUGCUAACUUACUUAACAUAAAUUUUGAUCGUAAUUUAAGGGAUUGCAGUGGAGUGUUUAGGUAAUAUUCAAAUUAGAAUUAUGUAUCACUUUAAAAGGAGGUGAAGGAUAUAUAUAUAGGUGUAUAUGUAUGCUUUUUGGGCAGCCUACUUUUAUUUGGGCAGCCCUUUUAGGGACAGCUGUACAAGUGACUACCCUCACUUUUGAGACUAUAUUUUGACACCUCUUCUAGUCAAAUUUGUCUCACCUGAAGUAUAGGAACCUUAGAACAUUAUCUAACAAGUUGUUCUUCAAAAUCACAAGAGAGAAACUUGGCCCUUUUGGCUGGAAUUCGACAACACACACUUCUUUUUGGUAAGUGACGAAAUCUGUUUCUGAGCUGGGUAGUGUUUGGUAUUUUAUGCAUAGCUCUUUAUCUAAAAAUUAGUGUACAGUGAAUAAAUAUGAUUUGGAAAGCUAAUUCGUAGACCUACAACUCUUAUGUUUAUUUAAAAUUCUAAUUUAGUUGUUAUAGAUUGGAAAUAUGGGACACAACAUGGGACAAGUUCUGUCCAGAUUUUGAAAUUACAAAUCCUGUUUGAACAACUGCUAGUGUUUUGAAUAUAUCUUGUUGUACAAAAUAUAUUUUUUGGUGAUUCCUGUUUUUUUGCAACCCUAAGAGAUGUAUCUACAUCUUUCAUGAAGGUUAUAAAGUCUAGUUUUGCCGUUUUCCUUUUCAAAUGUAAGUUGCGACAUGAGGUACUAGGCGGGCCAAAAUUACUGUUUUGGGAGCAUAGUCGUAUUUUUACAGGCUAAGCUUACUUUUGAUGAUAAUCCUGCUUUACCUCACCAUUAUUGAGCUUCUAGGAAUUAAAGAAGUUAUUUAAUUGUAUUUUUAAGGUUUUAUAUACUCAUGAACAAGUUGAGGACCUUGAUACGUUGGUUGGUCUACGGUUUGAACUCGUGAAGUUGUGUUGGACUAUUUCUAUGCUAAAGCACUGAGGUUUGUGUAUUAACUUGUACUUGCACUCUUUUAACUGCUGGUAUCUCUGAAAGUUGAUCUUGGUACCUUGGUUACCACUUGUCACUUUGCAUUGUCGUGUUGGUAUCCUUUAAGAUGUUAAAGACGAUUGUGUAACUGGCCCACUUGUACGGAUUGUUUGAUCACCUGGCACUCUUGUUAGGACCUUGUCCUUCUUGUGGCAGUGACUUUGUCACUAUUGGCAUGCCUCUUGAUUAAGAUCAUUUGCCAUCUUGACUCUGGAUUUGUAGUCCAUCUUAAGAAUGGAAGUUGUCCAUUUUAAGUACGAACUAGAAAGCCAUUUUUAAUAUCUGGUUGUGCUUGGUGUGACGACUUGAUGUAUAUAUUGGGCGAGCGUUGUUGUUGAAUCUCUUGGAAAAUGAUGCUAUGAGCGACAUGAUGUAUAUAUUGGGCGAGCCUUGCUAUUGAAUCUCUAGGAAUUUUGUGCUAUGAGCAUUUUUGACAUUUGGAUCUUUAAAUAUCGAACUUGAUACUCUUAUUAUAUUGUUUACUUGAUGUAAUUAUUAUGUUUCAAUGGUGCUGCCCAUGACUUGAGAAAGUUAACUUGGUGAAUCUGAUGGCUCCGAACCUAUAGUUUU